CCCGCUCCUUCUAGGAAACAGGCCAUGACCUGUCUGGCAUCAGGGGCAGAUUCCCAGGAGAAGUUACCGUCAUUGGUGCACAUGGGGUAUUGUCAGCAGUGAAAAUAGCAGUUCUGGACAGGUAGCUCUUCUGAAGUCACCAGGAGCAAAAGAACAAUAGAAGUGGGAAUUUACAUUGCAUUCCCAAAUCUCUGGAGAUCAAUGCCUCUUCCGCUCCACCAACUGGCAGAGCUCAGGCAGGCAAUAAGUUGCUGCCCCUCACUGAUAUAGCAGGACCUGGGAUUAACCUCGCAACUCCAAGUUCAUUUAGGGAAACAGGAACAAAAUUUUUCCCUAUCACAUCUUUGAGAGAAGAAAAACGUAACCUCAUGCCACAACAAUAAAAAACACGGCUUCUUCACCAUUCCACAGUUCACCCCAAAGGUCAUAGGUCUUUCACAGCGUAACAGGCCACCAUUGCCUUUUCCAAAGGAGUUAUUCACACCGUUCACUCAUGGUGCUUCUCUCACCCUGAGCACUACUUCUGCUCCAUUUACAAAGGCCCAUACACACUGUGGGUACUACUUACAAAUAACAAGAAUCAUGUGGCCUUGCUUUCAAAAUUUCUUUAUUCCGCUUCUCUUUGGUAAAGGCAAAUACACAAAGCAGGACUGUCAGUACAUCAGUAAAAAAAAAGCAACUUUGCAUAGAUAAUAACUAAGCAAUAAAUACGAGGCACAUAACGCCACUAAAAAUAUGCAUUAAAAAAACUGAGUUGAUAGCCCAAAGCUAUUUUCAAAUCUGAAGUUGCAGCAAACAUCAGCACUCAUGUGGUCAGUGACGCAUGCAGACAUAAGCAGACACAUUCUUUGGCCCUAGAGCCUCUAUUAGUCAUUAUUCUGGCUGGACUUCUACAGAACAAAUAACUGUUCUGAAACAUACAAUUUAGCUCCUGCUAAAUUUCUCUGUUGACUUUUUAGCUGGUUUGUGCGCUUGGUUAAGACUCAUGCCGGGCACCUCAAGAGCUGCCCACCAGAACCUUCUACACCCAACCAUUCCACAUGUCUGUGAGGAAACACAGUCCUAACCUCCACAUGCUUCAUGAGAUGGAGCAGUUCAGAUGCACAGACAACCACUACUUAAACCCAAAAGACUGGCAGUGAUCCUGAGGAGCUGGCAAAUAUUAAGACAGAACAAAGUUUAAGCAAAACCUUAAAUGUCAGUACUGAUCAAUAGAACAGAAAUUAACAGAGGACCCCUGUAGUCCCUGCAUCCAUCCAUUCUGUCAGAGACAUGGUCCAUGAAGUUUGCAUAGCCAGAGAUAUAUGAUAGGCCCAGGGGGGCUUAGGUGCUGACACCUUGCAAAUAAGGUUGGUGCAAGGCAAUGCAGGGAGCUCAAUGGUCCCAGAGCCACACUGCAUCAGUGAGAGGAAGUGGGACAGGCAAACAUGGGAGCAAGCCUGGAAAUGAUCAGACCUGCAACCACAGGUUGGCAAUCAGAGGGGAAAAGGAAAAGAAAAAAGAAUUGGAGAGGCUCCAGAUCUACCUGUGGCAGAAUCAGUCAGGUCUCAGUUUCCAAGAGGAACAUAACACUUUCCUCUGCCAUCAAAAACCAUGGCAAAGCAGCAAAUACAGCUCUGUAAAACUUUCCAUUGAUCCCAUUAAAUCCAUAAUGCCCUAGCAUGGUUAUCUCAGGGUGUAACAUUCCACAUGACAAAAUCUAGGCAUGGAAUAAUUGCCUAUGGCCAACAGAGCAAUUUGUCUUUGCUUAAAUAGAAGCAACAAGAAUAGAUGGAGACAAGAGAUGGAGCAGUGUAUCAGAUGACCACAGGAUGAUCAAGAAGGCCAGUCCACGCUUUUUGAUAACUAAGCAAGGAACAGGCUGGGGUAUUAAUAGCACUGCAUCAGAAGGCAGAGAGAACGACAGCAAAGCAUAUGGCAAGGAGAGUAUGACAGUAGUUACAUUACUGAGCUUUGUUUCAAUCUUUUCCUCAUUUACAUAGUAAAUCAAAUAACUAACAAACAAACCAAAAAAGGAUUUGAAAGAAAGCCAUAUAAAAUAAAUUACUGAGAACACUUAUUUCCCAACUAUGGCUGCUACUACUUCUAAUCUGUCACCUGACUGGGAUCCUACUGACCUUUUAUCAAUAAUUUCAGGAGAUUUGGUGUGGUUUGAGACCUCCAGCAGCAGAUCUCUCUAGAGGUAGCUCAGAAAUACAGCUGUUGACACUUUCAGCAAGGAGAAGGAGCUGCAUUAGCUGGAUAAGAAAGAAGAAAAGGAGAUGACAGGAAGAAAAUGAUGAGUUGCUGAGUUGCAAAACGUAACAUGCAGAAAGCUAUUAGUAAAAUAAUCCCCCCAGCUCUUUACUGAGAGCAGUUAUGCACUGGAAGAGGACCCCCAGUUUGCUCACAGCUUCCAUGGGAAGAAGGCAAAUGCAUUUGCAGACUAGCAGUAUCAGGAAUGGCACGAGCAGAGCAGAUAUUGUCUGGCAGCAGAAGAGAGGUCUGAGCAUUCCCUCUGGUCCUCUUUCCUUGUGAUGUAGUGUUUAGAUCAGGAAUCAAAUAUCAUGCUAGUCUUUCAGCAAUGAAGACGCUGGCUAGAGGGCUCAGAGCUUUGGUCUUGAUGUAUUUCCCUUUUACUGCUGCUACUUUCCAGUCAUGCAGGUCUCUGCUUUUAGUGUUGACUUUGGGAUGCUAGGCUGUAAUGAUCCAGGAGAUGAAUGGACAUCCUCUGCAAUCCUAGAAAACAGAGAAAAAGCUGAAAAAGGAUGAACCAGAGAGGUUCAG
ensembl:lncRNA